GUUUAUGACUUCACAGCCUGAUCCUUUCUAUACAUGCCUCAUUCCAUCUUGGAUUUUGUUCCCCACCUUUUAAGGUACAGUAAUUUUUCUUAGGUAUUAUGAACUUAACGCACCACAUAAGAGUACUCUAGCAAGGGGUAAACAGAAUGGUUUCAAGCCUUGAAUUUUCUAGCCUAUCCAAGGCAGGUCCUACUGAGUUUUGGAGCAGCAAAAAGUCAAUUUUUUAUGCAGUGUAGUAGUUCUUUUCCUCCCUGAAGUAGUUUUAAGAAGGCAAGUCUAGCUAACAAGCUCUUCGUGUAUAACCUGGUUUUCUGUAGUAAAGGCACUGUUCACAAUAGCAAAGACCUGGAACCAACCCGAAUACCCAUCAAUGAUAGACUGAAUGAAGAAAAUGUGGCACGUAUACACCAUGGACUACUAUGCAGCCAUACAAAAGCACGGAAAGGGGUGGCUGGCAAGAUGGCCAAAUAGGAACAGCUCUGGUCUGCAGCUCCCAGUGAGAUCAACGCAGAAGGUUACUGGGGUGCAGGUGGUGUUUGGUUACAUAAGAGGGGACUUGACAAGAUGAGGGUUCAGCAGACUAAAGUUCACAGGUCAAAGUCAGCCUGGUGCCUGUUUCUGUAUCCCUGCAAGGUAAGAAUGACUUUCACAUUUUUAAAUGGCUGCAAAAAUCAAAAGAUUCAUAUUUCAUUACAUGGGAAAACUGUAAAAAAUUCAAAUUUCAGUGUCCCUUAAUAAAGUAUUAUGAAGACACA
rnacentral:lncRNA from 13 species